rnacentral:rRNA from 1 species
GAUGAACGCUGGCGGCGUGCUUAACACAUGCAAGUCGAACGAUGAAGCCCAGCUUGCCGGGUGGAUUAGUGGCGAACGGGUGAGUAACACGUGAGUAACCUGCCCUUAACUCUGGGAUAAGCCUGGGAAACUGGGUCUAAUACCGGAUAGGAGCGUCCACCGCAUGGUGGGUGUUGGAAAGAUUUAUCGGUUUUGGAUGGACUCGCGGCCUAUCAGCUUGUUGGUGAGGUAAUGGCUCACCAAGGCGACGACGGGUAGCCGGCCUGAGAGGGUGACCGGCCACACUGGGACUGCGACACGGCCCAGACUCCUACGGGAGGCAGCAGUGGGGAAUAUUGCACAAUGGGCGCAAGCCUGAUGCAGCGACGCCGCGUGAGGGAUGACGGCCUUCGGGUUGUAGACCUCUUUCAGUAGGGAAGAAGCGAAAGUGACGGUACCUGCAGAAGAAGCACCGGCUAACUACGUG